rnacentral:rRNA from 1 species
UACGUAGGGGGCAAGCGUUGUCCGGAUUUAUUGGGCGUAAAGAGCGUGUAGGCGGCCGUACAGGUCAGCUGUGAAAACUCGAGGCUCAACCUCGAGACGUCGGUUGAAACCGUACGGCUAGAGUCCGGAAGAGGAGAGUGGAAUUCCCGGUGUAGCGGUGAAAUGACGCAGAUAUCGGGAAGAACACCCGUGGCGAAGGCGGCUCUCUGGGACGGUACUGACGCUGAGGUGGCGAAAGCGUGGGGAGCAAACAGGG